GGGACCCGUCUUGAAACACGGACCAAGGAGUCUAGCAUGUGCGCGAGUCAUUGGGACUCUGACGAAACCUAAAGGCGCAAUGAAAGUGAAGGUUCGCCUAGCGCGGACCGAGGGAGGAUGGGUGGUCUCGCGGGACCACCUCGCACUUCCGGGGCGUCUCGUUCUCACUGCGAGAAGAGGCGCACCCAGAGCGUACACGCUGGGACCCGAAAGAUGGUGAACUAUGCCUGGUCAGGACGAAGUCAGGGGAAACCCUGAUGGAGGUCCGUAGCGAUUCUGACGUGCAAAUCGAUCGUCGGAACUGGGUAUAGGGGCGAAAGACUAAUCGAACCAUCUAGUAGCUGGUUCCCUCCGAAGUUUCCCUCAGGAUAGCUGGCGCUCGCUUCUCGCGAGUCUCAUUCGGUAAAGCGAAUGAUUAGAGGCAUUGGGGUCGAAACGGCCUCAACCUAUUCUCAAACUUUAAAUGGGUGAGAUCUCCGGCUUGCUUGAACUGUGAAGCCGCGAGAUAUCGGAUCAGAGUGCCAAGUGGGCCACUUUUGGUAAGCAGAACUGGCGCUGUGGGAUGAACCAAACGCAGAGUUAAAGCGCCUAAAUCGACGCUUAUGGGAUACCAUGAAAGGCGUUGGUAACUUAAGACAGCAGGACGGUGGCCAUGGAAGUCGGAAUCCGCUAAGGAGUGUGUAAA
rnacentral:rRNA from 1 species